rnacentral:rRNA from 1 species
AUUGAACGCUGGCGGCAGGCCUAACACAUGCAAGUCGAACGAGUGGCGGACGGGAGAGAAAUAUCUGGGUAAGCGCCAGAUGGAGGGGGAAAACCACUAGAAACGGUAGCAAACACCAUAAACCCUCAGAUGUGCCCAGAUGGGAUUAGCGUGUUGGUGGAGUGACGGCUCACAAACGCCACGAUCCCUAGCUGGUCUGAGAGGAUGACCAGCCACACUGGAACUGGGGCACGGUCCAGACUCCAACGUGAGGCAGCAGUGGGGAAUAUUGCACAAUGGGCGCAAGCCUGAUGCAGCCAUGCCGCGUGUAUGAAGCAGGUCGUCGGGUUAUAAAGUGCUUUCAGCCGGGAGGCGUUACCGGCAGAAGAAGCACCGGCUAACUCCGUGCCAGCAGCCGCGGUAAUAC